AAGAGACAGCAGCAGCCGCGGUAAUACGUAGGGUGCAAGCGUUAAUCGGAAUUACUGGGCGUAAAGCGUGCGCAGGCGGUUAUAUAAGACAGAUGUGAAAUCCCCGGGCUCAACCUGGGAACUGCAUUUGUGACUGUAUAGCUAGAGUACGGCAGAGGGGGAUGGAAUUCCGCGUGUAGCAGUGAAAUGCGUAGAUAUGCGGAGGAACACCGAUGGCGAAGGCAAUCCCCUGGGCCUGUACUGACGCUCAUGCACGAAAGCGUGGGGAGCAAACAGGAUUAGAUACCCCCGUAGUCCCUGUCUCUUAUAA
rnacentral:rRNA from 1 species